rnacentral:rRNA from 1 species
AACGAACGCUGGCGGCAUGCCUAACACAUGCAAGUCGAACGAAGGCUUCGGCCUUAGUGGCGCACGGGUGCGUAACGCGUGGGAAUCUGCCCCUCGGUUCGGAAUAACAGUUAGAAAUGACUGCUAAUACCGGAUGAUGACUUCGGUCCAAAGAUUUAUCGCCGAGGGAUGAGCCCGCGUAAGAUUAGGUAGUUGGUGGGGUAAAGGCCUACCAAGCCGACGAUCUUUAGCUGGUCUGAGAGGAUGACCAGCCACACUGGGACUGAGACACGGCCCAGACUCCUACGGGAGGCAGCAGUGGGGAAUAUUGGACAAUGGGCGAAAGCCUGAUCCAGCAAUGCCGCGUGAGUGAUGAAGGCCUUAGGGUUGUAAAGCUCUUUUACCAGGGAUGAUAAUGACAGUACCUGGAGAAUACGCUCCGGCUAACUCCGUGCCAGCAGCCGCCGUAA